CUCCCUCUGCUGCAGAGUCAUAGCAGUGUGACCAUUCAGCUCUUUCACUGGGGCAAACAUCCACAGACAGGGUUAAAAGUUGCGCUCCCACGGUAACAGUUACACGUCCAAGUGUGUUUUCUGAAGACAUAAAGAGAGUCCUGGUGACAGACUGCCCUUUUUCCAUUCAAGGUCGCAGCUAGAGCCCUGUGAGGCACUGCCACUGGUAAACAUUAGGCUCCCUCCCGUACGUUCCACACCGAACCUGUGUAGACUGAGAUCCAGAUGCGGUGACACCUUUCCUCUGCUUAGAAAGCAAAGGUAGAAGGUUUGGUUUGAGAAGAAGGGGAGGGAAGGGACGGGGCUUAAAGCAACACGAUGGAUUUCCGAGACGGUGUUAAAAUGGGGACGCACGAUAGGAAAUGCUUGCGGUUCCUUGGUGAACUUCCAGUCGCGUCGUGAGCUUUUUAGAAGAAUGAGGAAUUGAUAUUCCCCUGUACACCACGGAGCUCACAGACGCCUGCACGUCGAUGCCAUCUUUGCAGCGACCAUAACGAAGGCCACCGCCACUGCCUGUGAAGCCCUGAGGCCAGGGCAGCUGAUGUUUCCCAGCGCCUGAGCCACAUGACCAAAUGCGACAGAGCCGCCUCGUCGGUUCAUUAGGGAAGAAGGCGCAGCUUACACACAAGAGGCCUCAAAAUCAAAGGUCGCCGGGGUCAGACAAGGCUAAAAACCCUGUCCAGCGGUUCUCUCAACAGACUGGCAGCAUCACUCUCUGGAAGAAUGCGAGUCACUGCGUUUGUCUCUUUUCGCAGAGGUGAGAGGAGAGCGCUGGGCUGUGUGUGCCGGGAGGAGGGCUGCGGUUUCUGCGCUGAGGGGUGGG
rnacentral:lncRNA from 9 species